AAAGUUGCCCUACAAUCAUAUAUCUGGUUCCCGAUCAUUUGCAGCAGUGAUGUCACUAAUUAAAUCAAGGCAUGAUGGGCAAGCUCCCUCUUUUCCAGAAUUUUACAAGGAAAUCCACUACAAAAAAA